GACGAACGCUGGCGGCGUGCUUAACACAUGCAAGUCGAACGGAAAGGCCCUGCUUUUGUGGGGUGCACGAGUGGCGAACGGGUGAGUAACACGUGAGUAACCUGCCCUUGACUUUGGGAUAACUUCAGGAAACUGGGGCUAAUACCGGAUAGGAGCUCCUGCUGCAUGGUGGGGGUUGGAAAGUUUCGGCGGUUGGGGAUGGACUCGCGGCUUAUCAGCUUGUUGGUGGGGUAGUGGCUUACCAAGGCUUUGACGGGUAGCCGGCCUGAGAGGGUGACCGGCCACAUUGGGACUGAGAUACGGCACAGACUCCUACGGGAGGCAGCAGUGGGGAAUAUUGCACAAUGGGAGGAAGCCUGAUGCAGCAACGCCGCGUGCGGGAUGACGGCCUUCGGGUUGUAAACCGCUUUCGCCUGUGACGAAGCGUGAGUGACGGUAAUGGGUAAAGAAGCACCGGCUAACUACGUG
rnacentral:rRNA from 1 species